rnacentral:rRNA from 1 species
GACGAACCGUGCGAACGUUGUUCGGAUUCAUUGGGCGUAAAGGGUGCGUAGGCGGUCGGGUAAGUCGGAUGUGAAAUCUCAGGGCUCAACCCUGAAACUGCAUUCGAUACUGCCUGGCUAGGGUACUGGAGAGGAGACUGGAAUUUACGGUGUAGCAGUGAAAUGCGUAGAUAUCGUAAGGAAGACCAGUGGCGAAGGCGAGUCUCUGGACAGUUACCGACGCUGAGGCACGAAGGUCAGGGGAGCAAACGGG